rnacentral:rRNA from 1 species
UCUGACUGUGCUAAGGUAGCAUAAUAAUUAGCUAUUUAAUUGGUAGCUGGAAUGAACGGCCUGACAAAAACCUGACUUUAUUUUUCUUCUGUAUAAAUUAAUUUAAGAAUAAAAAAGUUUUUUUAAAUUAGAAGGACGAUAAGACCCUAAAACCUUAUAUAUAUUAAUUUUACUGGGGCGGUAACUUAUAAAAACAUAAGUUAACCCUACAUACUGAAUGAUUUCCUCCAACUUCACUUAACUUCAAAAAGGUACUUUAGGGAUAACAGAAUAAUUUAUAUUUAGAGUCCUAAUCGACAUAUAAGAUUAUUACCUCGAUGUUGAAUUGAUACAACUUUUCAAGCAGC